rnacentral:rRNA from 1 species
AUUGAACGCUGGCGGCAUGCUUUACACAUGCAAGUCGAGCGGCAGCGCGGGGGCAACCCUGGCGGCGAGCGGCGAACGGGUGAGUAAUGCAUCGGAACGUGUCCGGAAGUGGGGGAUAACCCGCCGAAAGGCGGGCUAAUACCGCAUAUUCUCUGUGGAGGAAAGUGGGGGACCGCAAGGCCUCACGCUUUCGGAGCGGCCGAUGUCCGAUUAGCUAGUUGGUGGGGUAAUGGCUUACCAAGGCGACGAUCGGUAGCUGGUCUGAGAGGAUGAUCAGCCACACUGGGACUGAGACACGGCCCAGACUCCUACGGGAGGCAGCAGUGGGGAAUUUUGGACAAUGGGGGCAACCCUGAUCCAGCCAUGCCGCGUGCGGGAAGAAGGCCUUCGGGUUGUAAACCGCUUUUAGCCGGGAAGAAAAGGCAAGGGUCAACACCUCUUGUUCUUGACGGUACCGGCGGAAUAAGCACCGGCUAACUACGUG